AUACGUAGGGGGCGAGCGUUGUCCGGAAUGAUUGGGCGUAAAGGGCGCGUAGGCGGCCUGGUAAGUCUGAAGUGAAAGUCCCGCUUUCAAGGUGGGAAUUGCUUUGGAUACUGCUGGGCUUGAGUGCAGGAGAGGAAAACGGAAUUCCCGGUGUAGCGGUGAAAUGCGUAGAGAUCGGGAGGAACACCAGUGGCGAAGGCGGCUUUCUGGACUGUAACUGACGCUGAGGCGCGAAAGCGUGGGGAGCAAACAGGAUUAGAUACCCUGGUAGUCCACGCUGUAAACGAUGAAUGCUAGGUGUAGGAGGUAUCGACCCCUUCUGUGCCGAAGUUAACGCGAUAAGCAUACCGCCUGGGGAGUACGGUCGCAAGAUUGAAACUUAAAGGAAUUGACGGGG
rnacentral:rRNA from 1 species